rnacentral:rRNA from 1 species
GACGAACCGUGCGAACGUUGUUCGGAAUCACUGGGCUUAAAGGGCGCGUAGGCGGCUCCGCAAGUCGGGGGUGAAAUCUUUCGGCUUAACCGGAAAAGUGCCUCUGAUACUGCGGAGCUCGAGGGAGGUAGGGGCGGACGGAACUUCCGGUGGAGCGGUGAAAUGCGUUGAUAUCGGAAGGAACGCCGGUGGUGAAAGCGGUCCGCUGGCCCUCUACUGACGCUGAGGCGCGAAAGCCAGGGGAGCAAACGGG